AUGAAGGUGGGUCUGGCCUAUGGCCCUGAUAAUAAAUCCAGAGAAACGUGGGAGGCACCAGUCUUCCAAGGCCAGCUCUGCCUUCCCUCUCGUCAGAGACACGCGGGAGGUGCGAUGUCCCGAGGUCAGAGACGGAAAGCACAGUGCUUUACCCUCCCGUUGCCAAGAUGGCUCUAAAUUUCUCAGCCUGUGAUGAAGUGGGGUCUGCUGUCCUUAAGAGCUCCAAGCAGAGCCUCUUGGUAACAAGGUCACUGUUAAUACCCUGCCUGAUCCAUGGCAGUGCUGCUGGGGGAGAUGUGUUGGGAAGAAGAGUUGUGAGCCUUUGCUGGGUUGAUGUGAUGGAAGAAACUAAAUAGUAUUGAUGCUGCUCCAGCUCUUUUAAGUGGUCCCUUGGCCAGGACUCUGUGUCAUGUAGGUAAAUUCAAUCCAGAAGAAGUGGAUUUUUGGGUGGAAUUUUUACAUUCAUCUCUUGCAGCUGUGGAGAGUUUAAACUAAUCACAGUUCUCCCCAGUAUGCUAUCAUCUCUUUAAUUUGAAAAAGGAUCAGGAGCCCACAGGCUUGGAAAAUCUUGAAGAAACUCUUGUCCUGAAAUACAUCAUCACAUGUGGAAAAGACCACUUGCUGCAUCAUCUUAAAGGAGCUUAAGAAUGCCGAAAUCCAGUAUCAUUCUGGCAUUCUUUCAAAUGGCCUUAGAAAUCUGAGUAUGUUCUGUUCUGACUGCAAAACAGCUUCUUUCCCUUUCCAUCAAUCCUGUGGCUGUCAGCGUGUCUGUUGCAAGGUGCCAAAAAUGUAUGGAGUGUGUAUGGGGUGAUGGUGCCAAAGUCAGGGGUGCCUCGAGGCCUUCUCCCAUGAACUUGUUGCAGCAUUUGCUCAGUUGGAAAGCAUUUGAAACAAAAAAGAUAAUGGAAAAAAAAAAAAAAGAAAAAAGACACAGACCUUUAAAAAUUGUUGAACUGAAAAGAUUGGCUUUGUGCAGAUUGCUGCCUGCUGUUUAGAUCCUUGUUGUUCAAAACUUCUGAAAGGCCUGAUGCAAUCAAAGAGACUUACUGGGUCAAAUUGAUUCCAGACUAGUCCCUGGAAUCACAUGGAGGUGAAUCUGACAUACUGGGCCUUCAGCUAAGCUGUGGCCAGAAGGAAGGAGUUGAGGUCAUGCCCUGAAUUUUGUCCUCUCUUAGGAAAUCAGUGAAGUGGCUUGUUCACAUCAUGUCUCCUACUGACUGCUUGGGUGCAAAUGGAAAGGUUACUGAUUGCUGAGGGCUGGAAAAGUACAGAAUGACUACUUUGAAGAUGAUGGCUUCUUUCUCUCUCUCUCUCUUUUAAUAUACUGUCUCAAUAUAUCCUUAGGAAGAGAGGACAGAAAGCUGGAAGGCUGUCCUGGGUGGAAGCCAUAAUGUUCUCUAAUCCUCAAGCUACUGAAAGCUUUCUCAGUGAUGCUGAUAAAACUGGAUUUUGCCGUAACAGUGAUGAAGGCAAAAAAGAUUUUCUAGGGCAGGAUGUUAAUUUCUCUCUUCUCUUUUCUCUGGGAACCAAAGCGAGCCUAACUUGAGGUUGACUAGAACUCUUCUCAGCCCACUUCUCUGAACAAUGAACUCUCAGGGGCUCAGGUAAUGGUAAGAGGUCAGCAGAGCCAGGUAAUACCAAAGUAGUUUCUGAGUGCUACCCAUUGCCAGACAAGAGGGAAAUGAUUGCAGGGAGGCAAUCUUAUUCUUGAUAUGGUGAUAGCAUGUUACAGGCCUUUCUGCCUUCCAAUCUCUUGUCCCAGAAAUUGGGAUGGAGGUAAUGCAGUGACUGCCUCUCCCCAAGGUGUUCUGCUGCCUCCAGCAUGUGUAGAACUGUACAACUUGUUGCUCCCAGCUGCAGGAUAUUACUCUAAUCCUGUUCCUCAUCACAAUCCAGUAUAACAUCAUUUUGAGUGGCAUUGCUUAUUUCUUAUUAGUAGUACAGUGCAUCAACAUGAAAAAAAUUCAGGGCUAAAUCUAGAUUUUUUGCCAUAUAUUUAACAACUAACAAGCAUUCCUGUGAAUUAAAUUUUUUAAGAAAGGUACUAGAUUGGGAGACAGCUUCUUGAAAGCAGCAAAACUAACAGUAUGUGCAAGAUUCCUCAUAUAACACUGGUUUGUGAUGUUGAGAGACAGACUCAGAUCAAAGGACAGCUUAAGCUGGAGGCUAUCCCAGUCUUGGACUUCACUGUCAAUCCUUCCAUUGAAGGUGCCAGCUCAGAGGGUGGAUUUUCAGUUCAGUUUGCUGGCACAGCUGCCUUACCCAUGAGGGGCAUGAGGACUGGAAAAACUUCAGUUACUUCCAACCUUCCUCUCAAUUAAUAAUUUCAAGGUUGGAGUAUGUGGGCAGCCACCACCUGUUGCCUGGGCUACACAGUUCUCUUGAAAAGGAAACUGUUUGUGAGAAGAACAGCUAAGUGUCCAGAAUGGCAAUCUUAGUCCUUGCUGCUGUGAGGGGGUCAACUCACUUUUGGUGUUUGUAAACAUACAUGCUCAUUUUCAAAUGAGUGUGAUGUGGUGCUUACCAAGAGAAGCAGAAGAUUUUUCAGAACAGUAUACAAAACAAAAAAAAAAAAAAAAAAAAACUUUUCUGGGAGCCUUUUAAUGAACGUGGCAUAAUCCUCAAAGCUUCUUAUAACCAUAACAUUUUGAUCUCUGCGAGGGCAUGACAAACACUGGAAAGUAGUUUCUGGAAAAAAACUGUCAUCUUGUAAGGCUGUGUAACAAGGAGAUCACACUUCCAAAUCAAUGAUAAUUAUGUGUAACUUCAAAUAAAAAUGGUGUUGCCAGGCACUGUGCAGCUUUACUGCACCUGCAUUCUCUGGCACCAAGGGUGUCAGUCCCUGUAAAGUGGAGCAGAGGGAGGCGCAUGGUGAUAAAGCAGGUCAGUGCAGAGAACAUAUCACAAGGUAAAAAUGUUUCCAUUUAACAGAUAGAAAUAAUAAGUAGUAGUAAAUAUAAGACAAUUGGCCAGGAAGGACCUAGGCUACGAGAACAUGAGUAGAAGGGGAAAGCAUCAAGCACAGAGGACUGGGAACUACUGUGGAAAAAUUCUUCCUGCUGGAUGCCCAUUGCACAGCUGUGGUGAGAGACAAACAUCAUGUAAAACCAGCCUAGCUGAAGGAGCUGAAACCAAAACAGAGAUAGUGUUCCAUCACCCUUGCCAAGGCUGGAAAAUAUUUUUCAGUGAUGAUUCUCCAGAAGAGUUGUGAACUAGGAAAAGCUAUUCCCUAAGCCACAGGGGCACGGUGUGAGUGUGCAUGUGGGGGUGAAGGUGCUGUUUGUGGGAACUCCACACUAAUAUCCUGCUCCUCAGUGGGGCAGAUUCAGAUUUUUCUUCCUGAGGCCCCAGGAUACUGCAUCUCCAAGGGAGACAGAAUUAAUGGAUAGGAAAACAUCUUCAUUUGCCUUGGAGCAGAGACUGGAACAUGAGUCCCACUUUUUCCAGGUCAUGGAUUUUUCCAUUAUUUAUGGCAAUUCCUUAAGGACAGCACUGGAGUCUUGAGUGUUAAAUGUGUUCAUAUGCUCUGGGGUACCUGCAUGCAAUUUAAAUGGAAAAGAAGAUAAGUGUUUGAGAAGAUUGAGCUCUACAGCCACUGGAAAUUGGAAGGAGAGAAAUUUUUACAGCUAGAUGUCACAGUUAAAUCUUAAUUACAAUCAUACUGGUAUAAAUCCCAUGUAACUCCACGGGGAGCUUAGCAAGGUCCUGACCACACUGCUGCUGAAUUAAACACAGCUUGUGCCCAGCAUGUUGCAAGCCACCCUUUGGUGGAAAUAGCCUUGGUGGAUGUAGGCAGGUCCAGGCAAGUUCACAGGCAGUAUCCCAAUUGUCUUUUAUAGCACUAUUUUCUGGUGCCCUGCUGGAGUUCCUGGUAACCAGAAAGCUUAAUAAAAAGCUGUGGUACAUCUCUAGAAAAUGAAGAUCUAAGAGAAAAAUGUCACUAAUGAAAAUGCUGAAGAAACGUGAUACUAAGAUUAAAAAAUGCCAUUAGUCAGGUUGCCACUGUCUAAGUAGUGCUGUAAUGACCCUUGGAAAAAAAUUAAUAGAGAUUUCUGAAGACAUUGCAGGAACUAGUAAAUAGAACAUUUCAUGGGUUAUGUUUUCUCCUUUGUGUGCAUAUAGUCAGGGAAGAAUAUACCACAUAGGAAAAUUAGUGUGCCUAACAUACUUCACAUCAUGGCUAUCCCUGCCGUGCUUUCCAUAGUUUAAAAUUGUGUUCUGUGGACUUACAGUAUUUUCUUUGAUUUGCUGCCAAUAUUUGCUUAAGCAAAUUGAAGAGCUCGUACUAUACUAGGGUAGAAAGAGUGAUAAAUUGCAAAAAUGCAGUAAAUGUUAAAGCCACAAUUUUAAGCAGAAAUCUGAAGAAAUUGCUCUUAUGGCUUAUAACAUUAACAGAUUGAAAGGAAAACACAUGAUCACGUAAUACAGUAAGUGAAAGCUUAUGAUGGAGGAUACAGGUUAAAUCUUUUUUGCUACAUUUAAGGAGAGUUUGAAGUACUUUUUACCUGGUUCCCUGAAUCACAGUUCAUUACUGUUCAAAACAAAGGCUUUGAUUCCCAGAUAUUGUGUUCAAAUGUGAGAACUCAGAUGCUAAAAUCUUCCUUUAAAAAAGUGCUUACAGCUCCACUGUUGACUUCAGGAUAGAAUUUGGUCCAUUGUAGUUCUUUUAUCUAUUUUCUUUUUAAGAAAUUUUUGCUGCUUUUGUUUAUUUCUGCAUGUGUGGAGAAAACCAUUGCAGGAACUCUAUUUUCAGAGCCAUAAGGUACACAGUACGGAGCAGAACUAAAUCCUGACUUGGUGCAUUCUAGUUUUGCUGCACUGCAAAUAGAGGUUUAGAUACUAGUUUUACAGUUUCUGGUAAUCUCUUGAAAUUCAAAAAAGGAGAUGCAUGAUCAAUCAUUAUGGACAGGAUGCACUGUUUUAUGAAGUAUAACAAUCAAAAAAUAGAAAAGUGGCAUGUAUUCUGUCUCUGACUAAUACUUGAUUUGUACUUGUCUGAUUUGUUUCUACGUACCAUGUAUUUAUAGUAGUUAAUCUGAAGAUAUGUAUGCUACUUAGAUCACUUUAAAGUCAGGUGAAUACUGUACAAAAAUAUUUAGAAAUUCUAAUUCCAACAAAAGAAGGAGCUCAGUGAGGUACAGAGCUAAUGAAGUCUCAUAUUCCCUUGCUUUGUUACUUUUAGGAACCUUGGAUAUUUGACUGAAGCUGUCAUUUCAAUUAGAUGAAGUUCUCACAUCUUUUAAUGAUUUCCCUUAAGAUGGGGAUACCUAAUUACUUUUAUUGAAAGGCUGUUAAUGGAAAGUAGGCCUCAUCACAGAUACUUAUUAUAUAUUUGUACAAAUUUUUGUAUUUUGUAUGAAGUACGUGUUGGGAACAGACAACAGUAGAAAAGAGGGAAGAAUGAAAUCUCUUUGAUCAUUUCCAGUGAUGUGAGAAUUAGGGAAUAUUGUCCCCAGGUGGGGUAAAACCAAAUACAGCCCUGGAAGAGUAAAUAGCAUGUAACACAUAGUGAAAGAAAGAACUGAAGUGAAUCAUUUAAGAACAUCUAAACAGCUGAAAUAUGUUCACUGACACUGUUAUUUGAACAGUUGUGAAUAACAACCAGAUUAAUUGAAGUCAAAGUUUCUCCAUAAUAAUUCAGAAAGAGAACAAAAGGCUUAGUCUACUAAAUAAAACAUUUGCUAUGCAAAGCUUGCCCAGUUCUAGUUCGUAUAUUGUAAAAGGAUGUUGGCUUAAGAUAUGCUUUAUUACCAAACUCAGAUAAGGACACAGGGAAAUGCUGCCUGAGGACUUCAUUAAAGGAGCUAUGGACUAGGAGAUCUAAGAGUGUUCAAUAGUUGAAAUGAAGGUAUUUUUACAACUUUAUGACUCUAGAGUAAUAAGCAAGGAUGUAACCAGUGGAACCUGGGGGAGGAGGCAGACAGAGGAAAAUAAAUGUAAGACAGAGUGCCAAAAGAUAAAACAUCUUGUGGCAAACUUAUUUUGACUUUUUAAAUUGGAGCAAUGAACUACUAUGGACAGUCCCUCCUUUCCACCAUUAUGCAUUGACUUCCACCCCAUUUUCCAUUGGUAGCCCUCUGUGUCAGUAGACACAGAUCAGCUCUGGGUUUUAAAUGGCCCUGGCACAUUAUGAGAUCUCACCUGAUUCAGGUCUGUGAGUUUCCUCAAAGCAAACCCCUGCUGUUCCUCCUGCAGCAGACAAGUUAUCCCUGUGAUAACUUCCUCAAGGUUAUGUUGACCUUAACUAGUGAGUCAAGUGGAUAAUAUCCUUGUGGGAAGAGAAGACUAAGUGAGACUUUCCACUUCUUUCACAUGCAGCAAUUUUAAGAAUUACAGGGUGUAACUGGAAAGGGAUUGUGGGAUUGUCCUGAAAAUUGCAGUCCUUUGAAAAGGAAGCUUUAUUAAUUUUUAGUCAUAUAAAUGCCAUUCACCUUUGCAAAUUUUAGGCAUCUUCUUGGACAUUGCUAGGAGUCCCAUAUGCUUAGGCAGGUUGCUAAUUUUACCUAAGGUAAGGCAGUUUCUCACAUGGAACAGCUGGCAGAAAUCACAAUCAACAAUGAGAUAGGUACAUCUUUAUUGAUGGGAACUGUCAGAAGAAGAAGAAGGAGAAGGGUUUCCACUAAACAAGAAUCUUUAAAGAUUUAUUUUAUAAAUUUCUCCUUAGUUCUCUUCUACUUUUUUCUUUAAUUCAGGGGUUCCUGAAUUCCCUUUAAUGCUGGAUGGUGAAUUCAACACACAGGGUUUCAUGCUAACCAGGAUACCUGAAGGACUGUAAUAAGUGGAGAAGUUUUUUGCUCAAAGAUAGAUUUGUAUCUUUAUUUGCACUUUAUUUUUGUGGCUAACUUGAAUAUUAGCUUCUCCAGUUCCUCUUCAUACUGUCCAAAUUAUCCAUGCUUACUUAUUGUACUUUUGCAGUUACUGGUCUACUUUCAGCCAUUAAAGGCUGAAAAGGACCAAGGUGAACACAGAUUCAUGGAAUGAAAUAUUCUGUUUAGUUUCAGAUUCCAGAUUACAUCUUCUCCCUGGCCCUGCAUCCAAGACUUUCAUAGAAAGUGACUUCAUGGUACUGAGGACCAGGCAAAUUUGAGGAGAAAACAAGUUGGUCAAAUGAAAGAAGAAAAAGACCCCAAACAUGCUAAAUCCUAAAACAGUCCUGCCAAAAAUCCAAAGCAAAGCACAAACUGAGUAACACUGGAACUGCUCUGUGACCUUUCACAGGAAAAACCCUGGGAGAGAGAAUUAUGUCUCUCUGUUGAGAGAAUGUGAAUGCCACACCAGAGCAUGCUGGUGAUGCAAGAAGGACUUGGAAGUUGUUCAUAACUUUCCAGUUACAAUGAAAGAAGGUCUUGACUGUUUUGGUGAGGAGCAGGAAGAUCAUAGAUGGCCAAGAAAAAGUCUUCUUAUCUGUAAACAAGCGUGUUAAAGGAAAUGGCAAUACUUUGUGGUACACACUGCAGAUGAGUUGGAAAGGGUCUUUUGUAAGCAGGAGCCCAUGCACUGUUCAAACAACAGCCAAUUGAACAUGCUCUGCAGGAAUAUUUCAUCAGCAAGAUUAAAACAGACCUGGAGGCAGCUGUAACUUAGGAACAUGUGUAGAAUAAUACAGAGGAGCUAGUGGUCAGCAUGUUUGCCUCUCUUCCGGGCACUCCAGGCUUGAUUAAGGUCUCUGAACCCUGCUUUACUGAAGUUGGAGUAAAAUUCCCUUCCAUUCAAAGAGCACCACUUUGCAGAACAGCAGUGCAGAGGAGCACAAGUUUACACAGACUCUAGGACAGCUGACUGUGGAGAAUGAACAAUCUGAGUUCAAGUUGGGAGGAACUGCUGUUCUUUGUCCCAUCAUGAGCACAAUCAGUAUCUGUGUUUCAAGAGGGAGAGCUGAGAGAAGGAAAAAAGCAAGGCUCAGCCAAAAGACAAAGGCAGCUACAAGGCUGAGCUGUUUCAAUGGUCACUGCAGAAGAGCUGCAGCUGGCAAUGUGAGCGCACACCUGUGUGUGGGCAGGUAAGAAACAGUGUCAUAAGAGGGAGGAGAAACACAGCCUCACCGGCACCUGAACUGGCAAUGGCAGAAGAGAGAGGACUUCCAGGGUGAGCAGCAGAGCUUUGCUGAAACCUCUGUGAGAAAUCAGGUCGGCGUGAUCACACUGAAGAGAUUUUCCCUGUUGCUGGUUGAAAUGGCACCACAGACAGAUCAUAAGAUUUUCAUGACCUUGUGAUUUAUUUUGUGAGUGGUGGUUGUGCAACAGAUCCCCAUGUAAGAUAAGACAACACGAAGGUUUACACAAAGUAGAAAAGUAUACAAGAGAUAUGGCUUGCCACUCUUCUCCUUCUUUUAAAGAGAUAACAACUGCAUUUCAGGCUCAGAAAAAGAAAAAUAAAGCAAAAGACCAUCAAGAUUUUUAUUCUCUUUUGAGACUGAGUGUGAUGCCAGAUCUACAGUUUUCAACUUGUUUUAGGAAGACAACAGGCUGAAAGCAGUAAUUAUUGGCAAACAUUUCCCCCCAGCAGCUGGGUUUGAGUGCAUGAUACUCAUGGCAGUUUUAUGCUCUUGGAUCUUGAACUCUCAUCUGAUGCUAUGUGAGUCAGCAUGCAGGAAUAUGAUCACAAAACCAUGGAGAAAAUGUUUGGAUUUGUCCAAGUUCCUGUGAUAAAUGUUCAGAUCAGAGUAAAAUGGUCAUUUAAGUGAAUUGCACCAUCUGUAGAAGACCUGUGCCUGUCAGUAAGUCAGCCCAUACUGACCAGCUCUGUCUUUUCAGUGACUGCAUUCAAGGAUGGCAAGAGACCACGUACCAUUACGUAACCCUUAGAGUGAAAAGAAUUUUCCUCAAAAGUACUUGGGACACUAAGCAGAUGGCAGCAACUUAAUCCAGUCCAAAGAAGGAAUAAGUGAAAUCACUCAGUCAGUUACAUUCACUAGGGAAACUCUUGA